rnacentral:rRNA from 1 species
GCUCAGAUGACGCUAGCGACAGGCCUACACAUGCAGUCGAGGGGCAGCGCGGGAGAAGCUUGCUUUCCUGGCGGCGACCGGCGCACGGGUGCGUAACAGGUGUGCAAUCUGUCCUAUACCGGGGCAUAGCCCAGCGAAAGUUGGAUUAAUUCUCCAUGUGAGCGAGUGCCGCAUGACACACGCUUGAAACGUAAGGGUAUAGGGKGAGCACGCUUCUGAUUAGAUAGUUGGUGGGGUAACGGCUCACCAAGUCGACGAUCAGUAGGGGUUCUGAGAGGAAGGUCCCCCACAUUGGAACUGAGACACGGUCCAAACUCCUACGGGAGGCAGCAGUGAGGAAUAUUGGUCAAUGGGCGAGAGCCUGAACCAGCCAAGUCGCGUGAAGGAUGAAGGUUCUAUGGAUUGUAAACUUCUUUUGUCCGAGGGWAAAAAAGRMUACGUGUAGCUUCUUGCAAGUAUCGGACGAAUAAGCAUCGGCUAACUCCGUGCCAGCAGCCGCGGUAAUACGGAGGAUGCGAGCGUUAUCCGGAUUUAUUGGGUUUAAAGGGUGCGUAGGUGGUUUGUUAAGUUUGUGGUGAAAGCGUGCGGCUCAACCGUACCAAGCCAUGAAAACUGGCGAACUUGAGUGCAAACGAGGUAGGCGGAAUGUGAUGUGUAGCGGUGAAAUGCUUAGAUAUGUCACAGAACCCCGAUUGCGAAGGCAGCUUACCAGCAUGCAACUGACACUGAGGCACGAAAGCGUGGGUUCAAACAGGAUUAGAUACCCUGGUAGUCCACGCAGAACUUUUCAUACUAGCUGUUGGCGAUAUAAUGUCAGCGGUACAGCGAAAGUGUUAAGUAUCCACCKGGG